GUGCAAAGGUAGCAUAAUCAUUUGGUUUUUAAAUGAAAUCUUGUAUGAAGGGGUUAACGGGGAUUAACUGUCUUAAAAGAAUAUUUUGAAUUUUAACUUUUUGUAAUAAUGCAAAAAUUUAUUUAAGGGACGAUAAGACCCUAUAAAGCUUUAUUUUAAAUUAAAAUAAGGACUAAUUUUUUUUUAAUAAAUAAAUUUUACUGGGGCGGUAGCUUAUAAAACUAAGUUAAAAUAAUUUGAUCCAAUAUUAUUGAUAAUAAGAUUAAGUUACUUUAGGGAUAACAGCAUAAUUCAUUUAGGGAGUUCAAAUCGAAGAGUGGGAUUGUGACCUCGAUGUUGAAUU
rnacentral:rRNA from 1 species